CAAUAGCGUAUAUUAAAGUUGUUGCAGUUAGAACGCUCGUAGUCGGAUUUCGGGGCGGGCCGACCGGUCUGCCGAUGGGUACGCACUGGUCGGCGCGUCCUUCCUUCCGGAGACCGUGCCUACUCUUAACUGAGCGGGGGCGGGAGACGGAUCGUUUACUUUGAAAAAUACAGAGUGUUUCAAGCAGGCAGCUCGCUCUUGCAUGGAUUAGCAUGGGAUAAUGAAAUAGGACUUUGGUGCUAUUUUGUUGGUUUCGAACACCGAAGUAAUGAUUAAAAGGGAACGAGUCAGGGGCGACUCGUAUUCCGCAGAGAGAGGUGAAAUUCUCAGACCCGCGGAAGACGGACUACUGCGAAAGCAUUUGCCAAGGAUGUUUUCAUUGAUCAAGAACGAAAGUU
rnacentral:rRNA from 1 species